AACUCGUUUCCAAAACUACUAAAGCCCUACCUUCUUACUUCGAAUUCUUUUCAACUCUCAGCGAUCUUCGUAAUUCUUUGCAUUUAUGAAUGUCGAUCAUAUUCUUAGGUUCACGGACUCCAUAUUUCACUCUCAAAAAUCUCCAGUUUCUCCACAAUAUUUUCCAGGACUCUAAUCGGACGCGAUAGCUUCUAUUGACUCCUUUUUCUAGAACUUGACCUACAUCUACAUUGUUCAAUUAAAUUAGUUCCCACAUCUAACUCAGUUAAGUCUCUUGUAUUUAAAUUGUAAUAAUUGAUUUCCUUUUUCUCGACGUCUCUCCUCAUCCACUGAUUAAGUCCGGACCGUUGUAUCAUAACUUCUCCAAUGUUGUGGCAUGCUAGAUCAUACUUGAUGACUAAAUAUCAUUUCAUUAGGUGAUUUUCCAUCAAUCUUCGGGGUAUUUCUAAACUCAAUGCCUUCAUUGACUUGAAUAUGCUUUCAGUGUGGCCGUUACUUUGAGGAUAAUGAGGAGAUGAUUGUCCCCAUGUUAUGCUCCAUCUCUUCAAAAACUCCUUAAAUGCUUUAGAAUUAAAGUGUGUACCUUGAUCCAUCCUCAACAUGGUGGGAAUUCCAGUCUCCGAAAAUAGCUUCCUCACCACUACAAUUACAUCUUUAGAAUUAGGAACUCUCUUAAAUUCUUCUAUAUAUGGGUCAGCAGAUACAAUUUUGAACGGUCUUAUUGGAUUCCGAUCACACAAAAGUGAUUCCUUUGGUAAAGAUGGUAACCUUUCCUACAUAACUACCAUUUCUUGAAUUUCCAUAUUCAUUCUCGGCCAAUAAACCGUUUUGUCUCUUUGUCCAUUCUAUUCCUUGAUGUGAAUAAUAAAGCUUUUCCAAAAUCUCUUUCCGUUUACCUUUUGGAAUUAUCAAACGAUUAUUAUAUAAAACAAGGCCUCCUUCAGGGCUCAAUUCAGGUCGAUAUACUCUUGGUCUUUUAAAGACUCCCCAAGAAUAUUUUCUACUAAUGGAUCAAUUAUUUUCUGUUCUUCUUCUGAUUGGCUCAUUCUAAUCAAUACAAUCCGUAUUACUUCGUCUAUAUGAUAACGAACUUCUUCUUCAAUAUUUGCAUUAACUUCUGGAAAUGACACAGGUACCCUUGAUAAUGCGCCUGGGAUUUCAUAAUCUUUUCCUUUCCUCCAUUCUGCCCUAAAUUGAUACAUAGAUAAUUUAAAUUUAUAACGGAUCAAUCUCGUAUUUUCAACCAUAUCUAGUGUAACUAUUUAAAAUAGGGAUAAGAGGUUUAUGAUCAGUUAUAACUGUAAAUGUAGGUAAUCCAGCCAAAAAUAUAUGGCACUUCUUAAUUACCCACAAAAUCCCCACUCCAAUUCGAUCAUGGCAUAUCUUGUCUCUGCACUUAACAAAAAUCGCACAUUAUAUUAACUUCCAUGCCUCUUAAUGCUUUUGACUUAAAUCAUAUCCUAAACCAUUUAUUUUUUAUGCAUCUGCCUCGACGUGUGUUUCUAAUUUCGGAUCGAAUGGUGCUAAUACGGGUGGUGAAGUCAACAUUUCUUUCAAUUUAUCCAUGGAUAAGGUCCCGCUGAUUCACUUAUCUUUGAUGAAAAUGGACUUAGUUGAUUCACUAAAUCCAAGAAACUCCUAAGAUCCCUCCUAUUUUUUGGAUUCGGAAAUUUACUUAUUGCACACAAUUUAUCAGGAUCAACUUCCGUGCCUUCUUUAGAUACGUAAUAUUUAAAGAAAUUUUACUUUAGGUAGUAUAAAUAUAAAUUUUUCAGGAUAUAAAGUAAUUUUCUUCUCGGUAUUUUUCAAAAAUCCUUCUUGGUUUACAAACGGGAUCUUCUAAAUCCCUUGAUACUAUUAAAACAUCAUCGACCACUCUAAAUGUGUCUGGUAAAUUAUCCUAAAUUUCAUCUCCACGUAAGCAAUAUGCAUCUCCAGUCGCAACAAAACCCAUUGGCGCUCUAUUAAAAACAUAUCUACCCCGAGGAGUCAUAGAACAAGUCAUAUGUCUUACUUUAUCUGCUAAUUCCAUUUGUCAAUAGCCUUGUUUUGUGAGAACAAUAGAAUGGGUAGAGAAAUGCAAA
rnacentral:lncRNA from 1 species